UUGAUGACUACACUUACAAACUGGCAGUCUGAGUAAAGAAUAAAUCAUCACUUGAUACUUGAUGAUCCUGUAUUUCCAAGAAGAUGAUUAACAGCACAAUUUGGAAGUGAAUCAAUGAAGAAGACAUCUAUACUAUUAAUUGGACUUGAAAUGUCUUACAAGACUCGAUCUAUGUAGAUCGAUUGGAUUCACAUGGGCUUUUCUAUGGUCUCUUUCACUAUAUAUGCAAAAGUAUAUCUGAGGUGGGUUUAGUUUUUAUUAGCUUUGUUUAAACACUUUUUACAUUUCUUAUCUACUCAUUUGAUUUGUAUUUAUUAGUAUGAGAGACCUGGUUACUUUCGCUAAUUCAAGCGGACUCUUUUGAG